AUCAAGACAAGCUUUGGAGAGUCUAAAAAAUUAGAAGUGUAUAAAGUAUUUGCCUACAAAACAGUUUAAGUUCAGUUCUAUUUGACUAAAAUAAUGUUACAUAUAUGGUUUUAUAAAGGUGAAUUUUAUCAUCCCAACUAAACAAGUGUAUUAAAUAAAAUGACAAUUUUACCAUGGAUUUAGUGAAGAAUCUAUAUAUGCAAAACAGCUCAAUGUUAUGAAUGGU